rnacentral:sRNA from 1 species
GUUUGUUGUCUUUCUUGGACGUUUCCUCCCAAAACUCAAGCCGCUGGGGCAACCCAGCGGUUUUUUUUAUUAUUUUC